rnacentral:rRNA from 1 species
UUGAAAGGGAAACGAUUGAAGUCAGUCGUACCAGCGGGAUCAACCUUUCGAGUGGGGUUUUGGAGUUUUGAAGAGUGUCAAAACCUUUGAGAUUUCAAAAUUUUCGCUCCUUUGGUGUACUUUCUCGUGGGUAGGUUAACAUCGAUUUCGAUCAUCAUAAAAGGAUUGGAGGAAUGUAGCUUCGAUCUUGUAUUGAAGUGUUAUAGCCUUUGGUAAAUGUGAUGAUUGGGAUCGAGGAUUGCAACGAAUACCCUUUUGGGCUAUCCGCCUGAUCUCUGAUACGUGGCCUUGGUAUCGAAAGCUUGCUUAUGGUAUUAAGGUAUUACGGUCAAAAGGUUAGAACGGAUUACAUUCGUUAAGGAUGUUGACGUA